CUACUUAUCCCGAGCACCAUUUGCUAGCUUUUGUCAGCCUUCUUUUCUCUACUAGUUGAGAGCUGUGAGAAAAAAUGGCGACAGUCAAGGCUGCAAGACCUGCAAGGGUUGCUGUGGGAGAGAGAAAAGAGCCUGCCAAGGCCGGCGACGGAGCACCGAAGGCUCCCGUAGCGAAGCGGGCUCCCAAGAAGUCCAAGAAGAAGCCCCGGGAGCUGAAGAAGAAGGCCAAGAGCAGCAAACCAAGCGCCAAAAAUUAAGAACAGCAGCAGCAUUAUGAAUGAUUUGGGACACUUCACACCAUCCCUAUCAUAUGAUGACUUGUGGUUUUCUUUAUUCUCAUCUUUUAUCCAGUCGACUGUUGUUAUACUUGUAGUCUGAAUGCUGCUGUGAUGCAUGUGUAUGCUCAGCCUUGCGAUUUGGGAACAAGCACAGAUGUAUCUUGGAAUUGUCGCCAUGUUACGUGGAAAUAAAGUGGUAAUUUAGUAGUA